UAGCAAAACAAGGUUGCGGCAAGAUACAAUAAUUCCCCCUGGAACAAUAUCAGGUCUCUCUGAAUUAACUGAAUUAAGCAUUGAUGUUGAUCCAGAUGAUGAACGCUGGAAUGCUACUGUGAAAGCAAUUAUUGAGGAAGCUUGCGACCUGAAAACUUUAUUACAGCUUAAUUUGUACCUGCCAAACAUCGAAAUAUUGUGGAAACGAAGAACAGGUAGCACAUCAUUGCUCCAUUACCCCUUGCCACGUGUCAGAUUUACUGUUGGUUAUCACAAACAGCAGGUCAUAUCUCGAGUACCAGAAGAAGUAGAAGCUUACUUCAAUAAGGGCGACAAAUGCUUGAAGUUUGUCAAAGGCAAGGAUAUCCCAGCUGAAAUGAGAAUGGCAGUCAACCACAGCACAGCAUUUUUCCUGGAAGGUCAUGCUACAGCUAGGAGUUUGUCGGAUUUUGGAAUUGAAAAUACCAGGCAGCUAAAAUUUUGCUUAUUGACUGAAUGUAAUGAAGUCCAAACCAUCAUUGAUUGUGCAGAGUUUCCUGAAGAGCAGACUGAUGCACUUGGAAACCUACAAGACUUGACUAUAUAUUACCUGAAGAAUUUAGUGAGCAUUUGGAGGGGGCCUGUUCAUAAGCACUGCCUAGCUAGCCUGAAGUUCCUUGCACUUCAUAAAUGCCCCAAAUUGAGUAUCAUUUUCUCGCCAGAUUUGGUUGCUAAUCUUGCCAAUUUAGAAGAGCUCAUUGUUGAACACUGCCCUCAACUGACCAGUCUUGUGAGCCUAAUAGGUCAUGCAUCCAGCAACUCAGCACCACAACCAAAUUGCUUUCUUCCAAGCUUGAAAAGAAUAUCACUGCUUUACGUGCCAAAUCUUGUUAGCAUUUCUAGUGGCUUGUGCAUUGCUCCAGAGCUGGAAAAAGUAGGCUUUUACAAUUGCCCGAAGCUUAAGAGUCUUUCUGCGAUGGAAAUUUCAAGUGAAAAUUUGAAGAUGAUCAAAGGAGAAAGUCGCUGGUGGGAAGCAUUGGAGUGGAAGAACUCAGAGUGGGGGAACCGGCUGGAUUAUCUGCAUAGUAUCUUUUCCCCACUUAUUAAGGAGAGAGAUGUGAAGGCGCAAUUGGCCGAGGAGGGAAUUAUGCACCAAGCUUCAACUUAAACAAGGAGAGAGAUGUGAGGGCGCUGGGCAACAGCCAGGUAAUUUCUUUUAAAUUAAGAAGGUGUCCUUUUAUUUGUCAUCCAAGUAGUACAAGUAAAUAAGCAGAUAAUGGGCUUAAUAAUGGAGGAUGAGCAAUUCACGAAAGGCUAAUAUCUGACUCCCCUAACCCCACACCUCCCCACAACCCACCACCCCCCCCCCCCCCCCCCACAAAAAAAAAAAAAAAAANAAAAAAAAAAAAAGAAAAAAAAGAAUCAACAAAAACAGUAAUAAGAACCACUGGGCACUUCUGUUCUUUUGUUUUUUGUCAGAUUUCUCUAUGUUCUUCAGACUAUACUUCUCAUGAUUUAAGUGAUUAGUCUUGGACAAAACUGUAUUUCCAGGAGUCCAAGAGCUAAAUGUGGAACCAUGACAGUUUACAUUGGUGGCUCGGAUUUUGAAUAAAUUGAAGGUCAAAACCUCACACCAACAUGGAUGAUAGUUUAUUUUGUCUGAGUAGGCAGCUGCAGGCGUAGCUUGCCGAUAGUGUAUGCACCUUUUGUUUUUUCCUGAUAUUAAACCUUUUAUUGGAUUUCUGAGAGAUACAUUUCUAACAUGUAUAUCAUCACGUUAAGGGUUCAAUGCCAGAACAUUGGCGGGUAUUUCAAGAAUUAGUUGUUUGCUAUAAUCCCUGUCAAGUUUUAUUCUGAUUAUGUUGAAAUUGUGAUAAAGAGCUUUUGCAUCAUUUUUUGUCCUCUUGCAAUCUCUGUUCUUUGAAUGAAAAAAACUGAAACUCUGUGAGGAUUUUGAACCAAUUGCUUUAUAAAAUUUCAAGCAUAUUGACGUAUCCUCGAAGCAACCUAGAGUUAAAGCAGCAAAUAAAAAUUUGUUUGGGACCUAGAGUUAAGGCAGUGCAAAUUUUAGGCUUAUGUCCAAAGUUUUUCUUUGUGCUAUAGUAAAAGGUAACUAGUAUGAGGAAUCUACAACAUCAUUCAAACCAAAGCAGUGCAAAUCUUUUGUUGUUCUUAAUUAUUCUCAUUACAGCAAUGCAAACUUGAAUAACCAAAGAAACAUUCACCUGAGGCAACAGAAGGAUUGAAGGUGGUCUCUAACCUCACUGUCUCUCCACUGUAGUGCUUCCCACCGUAUUCGUUCUCCUUCUAUUAAUUUUAGCUCUGUUGCAUUGUGUUCACGGAAGGGUAGUGAUUUCACCUCGGGACAUCCAAAUAUCUUAAGCACCUUUAAAUGGGGCCACGCCGAUGACUCAUCCGCAGAUAUAAUUCUUAAUUUCGGCAUGUCAACCAGUUCCAAAGUCUCUAGAUUUGGAAGCUCAGUCAACUUUUCUAUCUCGAAGCAGCUUUCCAUCACCAAUUUUUUGAGUUUUGAGAGCUGUUGAAUCUCCCCGUUGGAAAAUAUCUUUGUCAACAUUGGACAACUCUUUACUACAAUAGUAUGUAGUUUUGACAAGCUUUUUCCUGAAGUGGGGCCUUAGAAAAUACUCUUCAGAAGGAGCAAAUUCCUUAAAUGUAACUGUUCCAAGAUCGUUAGAAUGUCCAUUUCUCCUUCCUUUUCGGCAUCUAUAAUGCUUGUGAUUUUAUUGCAUCGCUCAAUCAGACAACCCCGAACAUGGUUCUGGCUGGCAGCAUUCAUGAAGUCUGAUAGACAUUUGAUGUUGUUGUGACCGAUCAAUUCCAAUGCAUCAGUUUUAGGAAGGACAUCACGAACUGUAGAAUCAUCAUUGCCAGGAUAGCAGUAUCUCAUAUAUCUAUUUACCUUGUAUUCCAAACAAUCAAGAAUCAGAGGGUUGUUGUUUCUUUCACAGCCAACAAAAAACCAAAAUGAGGUUAAUUGUUCGCGAUCCCUCCAUGAUGGCCUGUUUUUAAUUAACAUUUUGAGGAUCUCUGGUCGUGGAAAGCUUACUCUAACAGUAGUUAAAUUCUUCAAGAAAGCCACCUCCUGAACGACUCUUUUUGCAACAUCAAUGCACCAAUGGCCAUAGGAGGUCACAUCAAUCAUCAGUUCCUCCAAUCUUAGAAGUCUUGAAAUCACCUUGUAAUCAAUUUCCAUAUCAGGAUAGUCUUCUGUAUUGCUGCAUUUAUGGUAUGACAUCCGCAAGCACCUCAGGUAAACUAAUUUUCCAAUAACAGGAGGUAUGAAUAUUAUCUUGCAGCCUCUAAUGUCAAGCACCUCAAGAAAACGAAGUUCUGCAACUUGGGGAGGCAACUUUGUUACGUUGGGGCAAUCAUUUAAGAAAAGUGCCUUAAGUCUAAUCAACUUUGAUACAGACGACGGUAGUGAUGCAAUUCCUGUUUGGUACAAGUCCAAAACAAGGAGCUUCUGCAUGUUCUUAAAAAAUGAUGGUGGAAUUGUGACCAAAUCGGGGUUUUUUUGUAGUAAUAGAGACAAAAGUUUGUUGCAGUUUGGACUUUCUGGCAAGUCAUGCAGUUUUCCUUUAAUCAUAGAGAUCUUUUUUGCCUGUUGCCAAUCUUUCAGCCUGUGGGUAUAAGGUUAAGCUUCACCUUUUGGAGCAAAAAAUUUGCAAUCAGGGUCUUGUGAGGAAAUGUAAAAGGCAAAUUGUCUGACACUAUUGUUCACUUGAACAUAAAUCAUUCUUUCACCUUUCUCUCGCAAUGACACAUUGCCACAUUGGUUAGAUGUCCCAAUAUGUCAUAUCCUUUAUCUCUUGCAUCCCGAAGACUCCUCCCGUCAUCAAUAUUGCCAAGAAGUCCUUCAGCCGCCCAACACUCCAGUAAAUAAUCUGUAUAUAUCUUGCUAUCAGCUGGAUAUAAUGCACCAUACAGAAAGCAUUUCUUUUUCUUCUCAUCCUUCAGCUCGUCAUAACAAAACUUGAGUGCUGCAUACAUUUUUGUUAAACCUGGGAUCUCAAUUUUUGGCCAUUUUUCAAGUUCGCUCAAUCCAUUUCUCCAUUCAGAAUCACUGUCCUUUAAUUUGAAGGAACUUGCCACUGUUCUGAUCACAAGUGGGAGUCGAUCACACUCAUCAACUACCAGCCGAGCAACUGGUUCAACAUCAGGGAGAUCGAUUUUCUCAACUGCUAUCUGUUGAAACAUUCUCCAUGCCUCAUCUGAAGAUAAUUUAUCCAUUUUGACCAUUCUAUCUGUCAUUGGCGAACAAACAUGACGAAAUUCAGUAGUCAAUACCACUUUGCUACCAUUACCAUAUCUGAGAUUCCAAUCUGCUGCAAAUCAAUGGAGUCCAUGACCUCAUUCAGAAGCAGCAAAUACUUCUUAUGCUUCAUAUAUUCUGAUAUGAUCCUCGCAAGUUCACCAGAGCACGUAGCACGUUCCGCCUUCAGUUUAAGUCGCUGUGCAAUGUUCAGUUGCAGUUUCUCAUCAUUCCUCUCCCUUGAAACAUUUAUCCAAAUGACUACAUCAAACAUUUUGGCAACUUCUUCAUGGUUAUUCAAGUUCUUCAGUAUUGUUGUUUUCCCAACUCCCUCUGUGCCAAAAAUUUCGAUUUCUUUUAGUUUAUCGCUUCUUAGCAACUCUAGUAUUUCUUGUAAUGAUCUUUGAAGGGUGGCAAAUCCUUCAAGGUCUGGUGCAUUCAACUUCACAGUUUUUUCUGGAGGCUUCUCUACCAAAAAUCCUCUUUUAAAUGCUCCCUCUUUCACAAGUUUCUCAACUUUCUUGCACAUAGUAAUGACCUUGUCACUAUAAUUUUUUUUUUUAAGAUUAAAAGUAUUUCCAUUAAAUCAGGGUGAAAUCCCCGAUGUACACAAAAUGGAAAGGACUAGGAGAGACUUGGUCCAGGUGCCCUUCCUGAAGCUUGGCAUACAAAAAAGCCAGCUGAAAACAAAAUGCUAUACAACUACAAAAUUUGAUAUAAGCAAGACUCAAAGAAGUUACAGCCACCCUUAACAGCCAAAAAGGGCGAAGGGAGAGCAAGAGUGAGAAACAUGGCCAUUUUGGAUGUUUCUCCCUCUUGCAAAUCCAUACUCAAGCAAAACAACCCAAAAAGCUAUUGGCCUUAUUAUGCAAAAAGUGAUCUGCACCAGCAACAUAGCAGUAAACACAGUCAAAAGCAUGCCCAAUCACUCAAGCAGUUAUGGAAACACACAUAGCAGAUCAUGUCACUAUAAUCUGACAGCCACAUAGAAAGUGAGGACCCUUCCGUUUCAUACUCAGCUUGUAAAUUUUCCACUUUCUUUUAGAGUCUUCACAACUUCAGUAGGCCACGUGUUGUAGCUUAUGGAAGUUGUUUUUGUUCCGUAUUGUUCCACUGUCCUCUCAUUGUCGUUCCUUUUUGCCUUGAGCUUUGCUGCAGCAGUUUUCAACAUGCUGAUAUUAUCAUUAUGCUAUUCCAUGAACUACGCUUCCCCACAGCGUAGUCCAAAACUCCUUUUACCCCAUCUUUUACCAAAUCAUUUAGCAAUUCAGCCAUUAUAACUUCGACGCUGCAACUGGCAUUCAAAUUAAAAAAAAAUCAGAUUUUUUUGUAAUUGUAACCAAAUCAGAUGUCUGCUUAUAUUUAAACUGUUUGGAGGGAAAAAAUAUACAAGUCAGAUUCUGUAAUUUGUUCUUUUCUUAUUUUUUCGUAUUUGUUUAAUUGCUAGUCCAGUUAAAAUAAUGGAUACCAACUGUUUGAAGAAAGUUCUGCAGAUAAUGGGUCUGUCUAUUCUCUUAUUUUUUUUUAUCUUUGUAACAAGAUGUUGUUUCCUUUUCUUUUGGAUAAAUAAAACUUUUACUUAGAAAAAAAAAAAUCAAGUGCAAGCUCAACACCAGCAAUUGUUAAACUCCAAAUAAGCUGAUCAUCUCACCAUAACUUGCCAAUCUACCUUUCUCAAUGCACUAAGACGUUGUGAAGACAUCAAUCCCACUAAGGUAAAUAAUAGUUAAAAUCUCAUUUAUUUUCUGAAAAAGAAAAUAAACACUUCUGUUUAUUUAAAAUUUUUUUUUUAUUAAUUCUCAACUUAGAUGUGUCUAAUAAUUAACUUAAUAGGAUUUUAUAUAACUAUUCGUAAGGAAGAGAGCUUUUUACUUUUUUUAUGUAAGAUUAUUAUAUUUUUUAAAUAAAUUAAAUAAGAAAGUAAUUUAAUUUAAACUUAUUUAUAAUACAAAUAAAGUAAAAGAUAAUUAAAAAAAGAUAAUAAUAGAAAUAAUCUUUCAUAACUUAACACGCAAGUAACUUAAUAUCAUAGUUAUAUGUUUAGUAUAUUUAGUUGAAUGUUACAGUAAAAUAGUUGAAUGAAAUAUUCAAUUCAAUCUUUGUAUAUUUAGUAGCAAAAAUACUUUCUUUUUAGGAAUCAAUUUCUGUAGUUUCAUGUUUUAUGGAAUUUUGCCAUUUCAUUUCCUUUUGCUUUUUGCCUCAAAUUAUGUCAAAAUCAAAGAGGACAAAAUUUUGAUUUGGAGAGAGUCGAGGAUUAUAUCUGGUUGGAAUUUACAUCAAUUUGAUAGUUUGGGGGCGAGCUUGCUUAUACCUGUACGACUAGGAAAAGCAUCAAUAGCACCUGUUAAAAACUAAAAUCAAACACAAAGUCCAACAAUAUGUCCUUGGCUAAAAAAAUAUUGAGGAAUCUCCAAAUCCAACAGCUGUUAACACUACGAAGCUACAACAUCCACUCAAACUAAAGCAGUUAAAAUCUUAUGUUGUUCUUAAUUGUUAUCAUUACAACAGUGCAAACUAGAAUAACCAGAAGAAACAUUCACCUGAGGCUGCAGAAGGAUUGAAGGUGGGUUUCUAACCUCACUGUCUUGCCACUACAAUGCUUCCCACCAUAUUUGUUCUCCUUCUAUUAAUUUUAGCUCUGUUGCAUUGUUUUUACUGAAAGGUAGUGAUUUCACCUUGGGACAUCCAAAUAUCUUAAGCACCUUUAACUGGGGCCAUGCCAAUCACUCAUCCGCAGAUAUAGUUCUUAAUUUCGGCAUGUCAACCAGUUCCAAAAUCUCUAGACUUGGAAGCUCAAUCAACUUUUCUAUCUAGAAGCAACUUUCCAUUACCAAUUUUUUGAGUUUUGAGAGCUGUUGAAUCACCCCAUUGGAAAAUAGCUUUGUCAACAUUGGACAAUACUUCACUACAAUAGGAUGUAGUUUUGACAAGCUUUUUCCUGAAAUGGGGCCUUCGAAAAUACUAUUCAGAAGGAGCAAAUUCCUUAAAUGUAACUGUUCCAAGAUCGGUAGAAUGUCUAUUUCUCCUUCCCUUUCGGCAUCUAUAAUACUUGUGAUUUUAUCGCAUCUCUCAAUCAGACAACUGCGAACAUGGUUCAGGCUGGCAACAUUCAUGAAGUCUGAUAGACAUUUGAUGUUGUUGUGACCGAUCAAUUCCAAUGCAUCAGUUUUAGGAAGGACAUCAUGAACUGUAGAAUCAUCAUUGCCAGUAUAGCAGUAUCGCAUAUAUCUAUUUACCUUGUAUUCCAAACAGUCAAGAAUCAGAGGGUUGUUUUCGCUUUCACAGCCAACAAAAAACCAAAAUGAGGUUAAUUGUUCGUGAUCCCUCCAUGAUGGCCUGUUUUAAUUUCUGAAGUGAUCAGGCUAAGAUUUUGCAGCCAAAAUACUCCUGUUUCUUUUUAGAAAAAUUGAUUGAUUUCUUUAUGUAAUGGUUCUGUCUAUUCUCCUAUUUUUGUAUCUUUGUAACAGGAUUUUUUCCUUUUCUUUUGGAUAAAUAACACUUUUUACUUCAAAAAAAAAAAAAAAAAAACAGCUGCGUGCUGAACACCGGGAAUUGUUAAACUCCAAAUAAGCUGAUCAUCUCAUCAUAACUUGCCAAUCUACCUUUCUCAAUGCACCAUUCAAUGCUAACUACAUUAUCUAGAGGAGGGUUCAAAGCUUCAUGCAUAAACCCGAAAUCUUACCAAGAAAAGGGAAGUAGAAAUGGCUCUCCAGAUUCAUUCCAACCCUCACAAUCCAAUUAUAUUUGUUCCAACAUUUGAAAACACAUAUAUCAAAUUUUUAACCUUUUAUUUGCUGUCGACUUCAAGUCAUGAAAAGAGCUUCAUGCAACAAUCUGUGGGCCUAUACUCUUAUGUGUUUUUUGUGUCUUGUUUCUGGUGGGGUGUUGUGCUGGUUGUAAAAGGGUCUGUUAUGAACUGGGUCUUUGGGGAGCUCUGCUUGUAUCUGGGCAGGGGAGAAACAGGGUUAUUUUUCUGUUUCAAGAUUCUGAGUAUACAGGGUGUGGAUGUUGUAAGGAAGAAAUAUCUGUUGUGUUCCUUGGGUUGCUGUGAGCAGACAAGGAGAAGAGGGACUCCCCUCAUCUAGAGGGGAGGUUCUUCCCUUGACUCUUUUUGUAAUUAAUAAAAUUCAAUGGGUUUACUUGAGAGUUUCAAACUAGUUGAACGAAAGAAGAAAAAUCUAGCUAAGGUUCAAAGAUCAAAACACAAUCAAUCAACUUUGAUUGAAACGACAAAUACAUAAACUACUUGGUCUUGUACUGUCCCGAAGCAUUCUCAAAAGCAGCCGACAAAGAUCUAUGUUUCAAACUAUAUUUUGAUGAAUUGUGUAAUCUACUAACAGAAAACUUACAUAUGUCUACUCGCAGAUGAUGGACCGUUGACUCAGGAGAUGCAAGAGAUUUUUUGGCUCUAAUCUGGAAUGCCCAUACACCACUUGAAUCUCAUGACUCACUUUUCAUGUCUUUGUAAAUAGAUAGAUUAUUAUCUUUGCUAUAUAUAAUGAAAGAACUUGUUAUUACAUAUUCUUAAAUGUUAUCUUGUGAUCAACAAUUGUAUGCCAUGAAAUUGAAAAUGACACUACUGUCCAAAAUGAUGUAGCCAAAGUCUGGCUCUAAAAUGUCAUUUGUGAUUUGCCUUGGCAAGUGUAUUUUUUUUUAAAAAGAGAGAAUUUAAAUUCUACUUUUGUUUCUUCGAUGAUUAAAAUAUUGGGUAGAAAACCGUGAAUGAUUAAAGUAUGGACAAGUGACAAUGGCGUGCGGACAAAAGUUUGGUUUUCCCUAGUUCAAAGAACAUAUGGGCGCGUAUGCAACUUGCUCUUCAUUGUUUAAUUUGACUAAAUUCAUGGAGCAGAUCUUGGGAGUGAGCGGGCGGCUCUCGCUUCUUCUCACAUGAAGUUUGAAAGCUUUUAACAAGCCUACCGGAGUGUGGAGAGUCCAUGGCAGAUAGGCUAUGAAUGAGAUGGGAAUUAACCAUGGGGGGUUGAUGCUCAGCAUUUAACAGGUUGGUACCCGAAUCCCCUACAUAUGCAAGCCAGAUUGGUCCUUUUUGUUGGAUGAAUCAUCCUCCCAGGGAUUAGAUUUUUAUAUUUGAGACGUAAUUUUUAUGCAAAGAAGACUAAUAAGAUUUAAUUACACAGGUGGAGCACUUGAUUUCCCUAGUUUUACUACAUUUGGAAGCUCUCGUCCUCCAUUCAUUGAUUACUAGUGAAUUGUUAACCGGCAUUAGGGAAGUAAAAACCAUCUGCCGAACUCAUAUCAAGGUAUAGCUGGACACAGUAAGAGUACCAUUUCAAGUUUAACUGAGCCUGGAAAUUGUUAACUCUGAGCGUUCAACUAUAAAUUGGAUACGACAAACUUGUCCUGCUAAUUCUUUCAUUUUCCAACCCUUACGGACUUUUUAUUUUAAUUUGAUAACUUAUUCUCGAUUCCUGGUGCAAAUUACUACAUGCUUUCAGCUUCGAGUUCACUAAUUUUCUAUUCUUAGAUGCCAAUGUCCUGCUACUUUUUGGCUUGUAUUCAAUCACACUUGCUGGACGAAACAUUAUCUCCUAUUGUCGAGAUUUUAUGGUAGUACAUCUAAUUCUUUCUUUCUUUUUUUCCAAUAGAGACAUGGAGAGCUGGGAACGUAAGAAUGUUAGAAAUGAACUAAGACAAGGGAGGAAGCUAGCAAAGCAGCUCCAAGCAAAUCUCAAACGGUCAUCUUCCGAAGAAAAUCCUGAGUUAGUCCAAAAGAUCGUAUCGUCCUUUGAAAAGGCACUUUCAAUGCUUAACUGCAGCACCUCCUCUAUGGCAGCCAAGCUGCAGCCCAUAGCUCACAGCUCGCUUGCUCGUGAUGGAAGUCACCAGAGUAAGGACCCUGACCAUGAUAUCAAGGAGCAAGACUUCAAAGUUAAAGAUUUCUUCAUGAAAAGGUACAUGUAGACAUAUGGGAAAUUUAUGAUGACAUAAAAUGGAAACCUAAACCAAUUUAUGCUUAAUUGCAGAGAAGUAACUGAGUCACAGCCUAAAGGACUUGCAACUGAAAUGUUUAAAUUCCCGCCUCCUUUCAGUGGAAGCUUCUCAAGUGCGGGAAAUUUGGAAGCCUUUGACGGGUAUGUAUCCUCUCCUUUUUAUGAAAGCUUCCUCGAUACGGACUCUGACAAUGGAUUCAAGGAGCAGGGGUUCAAAGUCAACUACGAUGUCAAUAAAAGCUAUUUUCUCUGUCUCUUUUUUUUAUCUAAUUUUUCAAAUGUUAUAUAAUAUUAUUUAUAUUCUUAAUUUAUUUUUCGUAAUUUUUUUAUUUUUUAUAUUAAAAAAUAUUAAAUAUUUAUUUUAUAAUUUUUUAAAAUUUAAUAUAAAAUAUUUGAAAAUCAAAACUUUAAUUUUAAUUUUCAUGAAAAGAGUACUUGGAAAGAGUACUUAAGAUGAUCUAUAAAGGGGAAAACUAAACCAAUUUAUGCUUGAGUGCAGUAAGGCAGCCGAAUUAAAGCCAACAAUAAUUGGGACCGAAUUUGACCAUGAUUUCAUGGAGGAGCAUGAGCUCAAAGUCAAUGAAACCUUCAAUAAAAGGUAUACUAUAUAUAUAUAUUUCUGGGUAAUUUGUGAUGAUAAUUAAAGGGAAAUCUGAACCAAUAAUUUAUGGUCAAUGAAAUAGUUGCAGUGUGAAAGAUGAGUCAAAGCCUGCAGGACAUGCAAAAGUAAUGUUUAAGUCCUUGUCUGACUAUAACUUGGAGAAGAAAAAGCACACCGUCGGCGAUGCUUCCAAGAAAAGGUAUGUAUAACAGGAAUAUGGGCAAGUUAUGAUGAUAUAAAAGGGGAAACUAAACGGAUUUUCUGCUGAACUAUAGUGCUGCAGGUGAGUCACAACCCACAGAAGUUGAGUUUAAAAAGCCCAAAUCCUCGCAUUCUCUUGGCGAAAGCCUCCCAAGUAAGGACUCUGACUAUAAUUUCAAGGAGCAGGAGCUCAAAAUCAAUGAGGGCUCCGGCAAAAGGUAUAUAUAAGAGCAUAUGAGCAAUUUAUCAUAAUACAUUGCCAACUAAUCCAAAAAAUUAAAAAAAAGAAUUUACAUUGAAAAAAGAAGGCCUCAAUUAAUGUUAUAUCUUUAAUUGGUUUGAACAAAACAUUUCCAUGUUGCAGGAACGCUAGGCGGAGCUGGACAGUAUUGGUUCACUCUGAUAUGGUCCUAGGGGAACUUCCUUCUGAUGGUUGCAAUUGGAGGAAAUAUGGACAGAAGGAUAUUCUUAAUGCAAGAUUUCCAAGGUAGAGACAUUUUCCUCUUUUAGUGCAUAUUAUUAAAAACAAGAUGCAAUUGAUGCGUUAAUUAAGGCUCAGAUCGCUCCGUUUAGAUGUUAUUUUUUCUGCUUUUUUUUUUCUUGAUAAAGCCAUUAAGUGUCUGUUUAUUUAGGGUUAUAGGUUAAUCAGUUUAUUCUUUUUAGAGUUAAAGUUCACACUUUCCUUUUUUGGUAUAUGGAGAAGAUAUUUCUUCCUUCCUUAUCAUGUCUUUCUUGAAGCCAUUUUCGUAUAUCCCUUCAGAAUGCAUUGCUUUAGAGUGACACUUGAGACCUUCAGUAAAAAAAAAAAAAUUGCUGAAACAUUAUCACAUAGAAUCAAUGUAGGCCAAAAACCAACUCUAUGUGGACAGCUUAAACUGGACUUUUACUCCUCUGCAGUUCCAUUAUUAUCUGUUCCGAACAAAAGAUGUUUUAUCGGUAUGAGCAUUCUUGACUGCACGCUAGUGCAGGACCUUGGUGCCUAACCAAUGGCAUGAUUUAAUAUUUUUUUUUCUGGACUUAAUGUAGAAUAACUGUUCUAGACAAUUGUGGAUAUUUGAUAAUAACUCCCAUUUCCUAAAGAGCUAGCGUCCCAAAGACAUGCCAUGUACAUGUAUUUCAUAUAUCCUAUUUGUGAUGAAACAAAUUUAAAAAUUCACUGAGCUUUAAACUUGAAAUAACCUUUCUUUUCUUUCUUACAGAGAAUACUACAGGUGCGCACAUCGACACACUCAAGGCUGUUUUGCUACAAAGGAAGUCCAAAGAGAGGAUGAAGAUCCAAUGUUCAUCACUGCUACUUACAAAGGAAUGCACACUUGCACACUAGCCCCAGAUUUGAUGCCUCCAGGACCACCUGAGAUACUAGCUGUACAGAACCUACUCUUUAUCACGUUCCAUUUAGAUUAAGGUCUUUCUUAUAGAUAGAAUAAAUUAAUUUAGAUUCUGAUAUUCUAGUGAAAUAAGUACUUUUCAUGUAUAUUUGCAGCCUUUGGAUACUGUACUUGGCGCCGAUGGAAAUGACAAAAAGGAUUCACAAUCUAAUCUUCAGUCAAGUGUACACAGUCCUGACAAUCAAACUUGCAUUUCGUCAACCAAGCUAACAAGUGAGCUUCCAAAUUUAGGGCUCAACCUGAAUGUGUUUCCUGAGAAAUCAUUUAAGUCAUAUCCAACGUGGAAAAACUUUUAUGAAAAUGAAGUGAGGAAGAAUUGGAAAGUGCUGAACAGGAAGAAGGAUGUGCUACUCUUACUUUCAUCUUAUCCUAUGAUUAUGAUUGACAAAUCUGACACAGAUAAAUGGAUUAUUGAUGUAUUGGCAACCAUGAGACAUGUGAAAUCAACAGAAAAGAUUUUAUUUGGUGUAGGGGUAGCGAAACAUUGGCCAGGAAUGACUACGCUGCAGGAACUUUCUGGACGCUUGCAGAAGUUGCUGGAUGUUCCCUUGAUGAAUGAUAUUGAGGGAGUUUUACCGGUAGACUUGGUUGAGAACCUAUAUAGGACUACAGAAGCUGAUUUAAGACCCCUGUUGGAAGUGGAACAGAAUAUAAUUAGCGGAAAGACAUCAAAAUCUAGAGGUUCAGCAAGUAACAGUGAAGGGGCAGCAAUGGAAGCAGAAAAAGAAUUGCAGCCAAUGCCUGCAAAAUGUAAAACUCUGGUAGAAGAUACUGAGUUGCCAGCAAAAGGAACACUGAAUGUACCAGAAGAAAUAUUUGACUUGGCAAUUUAUUUAGCUGUUCGUCAGAUCUUAAAAUGUAUAAACAGGGGAUAUAUCUGGUGUAUUACUAUCAGUGGAAGAGAUAAGAAAAGGGUGCUAGGAGCAGUAAAGCAACACCAAGAUAUAGUUUCCGAGUUUGGAUAUAUCAUUGUAUUCACUGUGUCAGAAGAUCAAAGUGGGGCAAAUGUUCACGGUGUCUUUCAACUGCAGAAGGGUUUUUGGCUAGGUGGAUGCUUUGAUUCUGUUGACCUUACACAUGAAUAUUUUGACAACUUGUGCUCCCCAGGAAUCUUAUUGCUUACAGAGGAUGAUUACGAUAAGAACAUGAACUUGGAUCAGUCUACACUCCCACUUUUGAUAAACCUUAACAAGUUGGUUGACCAUAAACAUAGCGAUUCAAGGUUCAUAAUCUUUACUUCUAAAAUGGCAACAGACAUGGAGAUAAGAAUGGAGGAUCAUUUGUUGUCAUGGAAAUUGUUUUGUAGGAUUGUGGGUGAAGGUUUGCUUUCUCCUAGUAUCCAACAGAUAGCAGCAAGUUUGGUGAAAGAAUACCGUGGCAAUCUACUCGCCAUCAUUCUAACGGCCAGGUCCUUGGAGAAAGUUACUGAUGAUGUCAACUUGUGGGAACUUGCUGUUAAAAGAUUGACCAUGCUACCUCCAUCUCAAAUAGAAGAUAUAGACAAUGUCCUGAUUAAUGCAUUAACAUUCAUUUGGGAACGUAUGAACAAUAAAACAAGACAUUGCAUUAAGUUUUUCACGUGGUAUCCCAAGGGACAGAAAAUUAACAGAGUCUCACUAAUACAACAUUGGAUCCAAGAUCGUCUGGUUGAUACCCAUGAUGAAGGUACCAAUAUUAUCCAAAAUCUUGUUGAUACAUCCCUGCUUAAUAUUGUGGAGUUAAAUGGGGUCCAACUGCGAAGAGAGAUCUAUGAUGUAUUAGUAAACCCACUAAUUCUUCAAAUGCAUCCAUUUUAUCUUUUGCUAGGCAGGGCAAGAUUGAUUAAACCACCAGAAGAAGAGGAAUGGGAUGCCAAAGUGAUCAAUUUGAUGGAUAAUAAAUUAUCUGACCUGCCAGAAUCUCCAAGGUCACCCUCACUAAUUGCAUUGUACCUUCAGCGUAACUUGGAUCUCAUGACUAUCCCAUCUUGUUUCUUCAAGCACAUGCCUUUGCUUCAAAUCCUAGACUUAUCACACACCAGCAUCAAAUCUUUGCCAGAGUCACUUUCUAGUUUGGUUAACCUUCGAGAACUCCUUUUGAAAGGCUGUGAACUCUUCAUACGACUCCCUAGCCAUGUUGGAGAACUGAAGAAUCUUGAGAAGCUUGACCUUGAUGAAACUCAGAUUAUUGAUCUCCCAGCAGAGAUUGGACAACUUUCCAAAUUAAAAAUUUUGAGGGUCUCAUUCUAUGGAUAUAUGAACUGUAGCAAAACAAGGUUGCGGCAAGAUACAAUAAUUCCCCCUGGAACAAUAUCAGGUCUCUCUGAAUUAACUGAAUUAAGCAUUGAUGUUGAUCCGGAUGAUGAACGCUGGAAUGCAACGGUGAAAGAUAUUAUUGAGGAAGCUUGCAACUUGAAAACUUUAAGACAGCUUAAUUUGUACCUGCCAAACAUCGAAAUAUUGUGGAAACGCAGAACCGGUAGCGCAUCAUUGCUCCAUUACCCUUUGCCACGUUUUAGAUUUACUGUCGGUUAUCACAAGCGGCAGGUCAUAUCUCGAGUACCGGAAGAAGUAGAAGCUCACUUCAAUAAAAGCAACAAAUGCUUGAAGUUUGUCAAAGGCAAUGAUAUCCCAGCUGAAAUGAAAAAGGUUCUGAACCACAGCACAGCUUUUUUCCUGGAAGGUCAUGCUACCGCUAGGAGUUUGUCUGAUUUCGGAAUUGAGAAUACCAGGCUGCUAAAAUGUUGCUUAUUGACAGAAUGUAAUGGAGUCAAAACCAUCAUUGAUUUGUCACAAGGUGGUGGACACUCACAAGUUUACACAAGAGGAAAAGGGAAGAGCGAGUCACUGAGUAUGUGAUAGGACUUCCUUCAAAUGAUUUUUUUUUCCUCUUCUUGUUAUCAUUUCGUUUCAUUACAUAGGUAUUUAUACUACUCAAUAGAUGAUUCUAGACUCAAACAUUAAAUUUAAAACAUUCAUUUAGAUUUACGAAUAAUUAGGUUCAUGAAUACCUUCAUAAAUAGUAAUGUUCAUCUAGCUUCAUGAAUAAUUAGGUUCAUGAAUUCAUAUUAACUUUAAGUUUAAUAUCCAACAACUGAGCAAAAAAAAGUUUAAUAUCCAACAUGAUUGUGCAGAGUUUCCUGAAGAACAAACUGAUGCACUUGGAAAUCUACAAGACUUGAAUAUAUAUUACAUGAAGAAUUUAGAGAGCAUUUGGAAGGGGCCUGUUCAUAAGCACUGCCUAGCUAGCCUGAAGUUCCUUGCACUUCAUAAAUGCCCCAGAUUGAGUACCAUUUUCUCACUAGAUUUGGUUGCUAAUCUUGACAAUUUAGAAGAGCUCAUUGUUGAACACUGCCCUCAACUGACCAGUCUUGUGAGCCCGACGGGUCAUGUGUCCAGUAACUCAACACCACAACCAAAUUGCUUUUUUCCUAGCUUGAAAAGAAUAUCACUGCUUUACGUGCCAAAUCUUGUUAGCAUUUCUAGUGGUUUGUGGAUUGCUCCAGAACUGGAAAAAGUAGGCUUUUACAAUUGCCCAAAGCUUAAGAGUCUUUCCGCGAUGGAAAUGUCAAGUGACCAUUUGACGAGGAUCAAAGGAGAAAGUCACUGGUGGGAAGCAUUGGAGUGGAAAAACUCAGAGUGGGGGAACCCGCUGGAUUAUCUGCAGAGUAUCUUUUCCCCACUUAUUAAGGAGAGAGAUGUGAAGGCGCAAUUGGCAGAAGAAGGAAUUAUGCACCAUGCUUCAACUUAAACAAGGAGAGAGAUGUAAGGGCGCUGGGCAACAGCCAGGUAAUUUCUUUUGAAUUAAGAAGGUGUCCUUUUAUUUGUCAUCCAAAUAGUACAAGUAAAUAAGCAGAUAAUGGGCUUAAUAAUGAAGGAUGAGCAAUUCAGGAAGGGCUAAUAUCUGAUUCCCCUCACCCCCCACCAAAAAAAGGAUCAGCAAAAACAAUAAUAAGAACUACUGGGCACCUCUGUUCUUUUGUUUUUUGUCAGAGUUCUCUAUGUUCUUUAGACUAUACUUCUCAUGAUAUAAGUGAUUGGUCUUGGACAAAACUGUACUUCCAGGGCUCCAAGAGCUAAAUGUGGAACCAUGACAGCUUACGUUGGUGGCUCGGAUUUUGAAUAAAUUGAAGGUCACAGCCUAACACCAAACGGGUGAUAGUUUGUUUUGUCUGAGUAGGCAUCUGCAUGAGUAGCUUGCCGAUAGUGUAUGCACCUUUUGUUUUUUUAUGAUAUUAAACCUUGUAUUUGAUUUCUGAGAGAUACAUUUCUAACAUGGAUAUCAUCACGCCGAGGGUUCAAUGCCAGAACAUUGGCGGGUAUAUCAAGAAUUAGUUGUUUGCUAUAAUCCCUGUCAAGUUUUAUUCUGAUUAUGUUGAAAUUGUGAUAAAAGAGCUUUUGCUUCAUUUUUUGUUCUCUUGCAGUCUCUGUUCAUUGAUUGAAAACUGAAACUCUGUGAAGAUUUUGAACCAAUUGCUUUAUUAAAUUUCAGGCAUAUUGACGUAUCCUGGAAGUAACCUAGAGUUAAAGCAGCAAAUAAAAAUUUUUUGGGACCUAGAGUUAAGGCAGUGCGAAUUGUAGGCAUAUGUCCAAAGUUUUUCUUUGUGCUAUAGUAAAAGGUAACUAGUAUGAGGAAUCUACAACAUUUAUUCAAACUAAAGCAGUGCAAAUCUUAUGUUGUUCUUAAUUAUUCUCAUUACAGCAGUGCAAACUUGAAUAACCAAAGAAACAUUCACCUGAGGCAACAGCAGGAUUGAAGGUGGUCUCUAACCUCACUGUCUCUCCACUGUAGUGCUUCCCACCAUUUUCGUUUUCCUUCUAUUAAUUUUAGCUCUGUUGCAUUAUGUUCACUGAAAGGUAGUGAUUUCACCUCGGGACAUCCAAAUAUCUUAAGCACCUUUAAAUAGGGCCAUGCCGAUGACUCAUCCGCAGAUAUAAUUCUUAAUUUCGGCAUGUCAACCAGUUCCAAAAUCUCUAGAGUUGGAAGCUCAGUCAAGUUUUCUAUCUCGAAGUAGCUUUCCAUCACCAAUUUUUUGAGUUUUGAGAGCUGUUGAAUCACCCGUUUGGAAAAUAUCUUUGUCAACAUUGGACAACUCUUUACUACAAUAGUGUGCUGUUUUGACAAGCUUUUUCCUGAAGUGGGGCCUUCGAAAAUACUCUUCUUAAGGAGCAAAUUCCUUAAAUGUAACUAUUCCAAGAUCGGUAGAAUGUCCAUUUCUCCUUCCCUUGCGGCAUCUAUAAUGCUUGUGAUUUUUUUUUUUUGAAUAAUAACGACUAUUAUUAGCUAGGUCUGGAAAAUGAAUACAACCCUGAAGGAAGAACAAGACAACAAGGUAACAAGGGAAACAGAGAUUUGCCUGAUAGAUCUCUGUUUCUCAUAGUACCCAAUCCAAGACUCAAUCCCCUGAGUAAUCGGAGCAUCAUUCAAAACAAAAGAACAACCAAGCUCCUUGAGAAAAUAAAAAGUGAUGUACACUCCCCUGACAAAAAGAACACAACCUCCCUUAUUCUAGACAGCAGAACCCCAGAACCUCUUCCCAGACUCCAGCCCUCUAAGAUGAGAAAGGAGAAGAAACAAAGGGGGGCACAGAUUCAUGACAAUGCUCACAUAGCAUCAAAGUUCUGCCUAACAUCAACCUGCCUCACCAUCAAUUUAAAACAUACACAAUGUUCCAGAGCCAAAAUUCGCUGCAUUUUUGGCGAGUAUAUCAGCCUCCUGGUUUGCUUCCCGCAGAGUGUGAGUUAUCUUCCAAGGCCCUAGCUGUUCCUCAAUCAUUUCAAUUAAAAUAACCCAUAUGCUUGUGAUUUUAUUGCAUCGCUCAAUCAGACAACCGCGAACAUGGUUCAGGCUGGCAACAUUCAUGAAGUCUGUUAGACAUUUGAUGUUGUUGUGACAGAUCAAUUCCAAUGCAUCAGUUUUAGGAAGGACAUCACGAACUGUAGAAUCAUCAUUGCCAGGACAGCAGUAUCUCAUAUAUCUAUUUACAUUGUAUUCCAAACAGUGAAGAAUCCAAGGGUUGUUGUCGCUUUCACAGCCAACCAAAAACCAAAAUGAGGUUAAUUGUUCGCGAUCCCUCCAUGAUGGCCUGUUUUCAAUUAACAUUUUGAGGAUCUUUGAUCGCGGAAAGCUUAUUCUAAGAGUAGUUAAAUUCUUCAAGAAAGCCACUUCCUGAAUGACUCUUUUUGCAACAUCAAUGCACCAAUGCCCAUAGGAGGUCACAUCAAUCAUCAGUUCCUCCAGUCUUAGAAGUCUUGAAAUCACCUUGUAAUCAAUUUCCAUAUCAUGACAAUCUUCUAUAUUGCUGCAUUUAUGGUAUGACAUCCGCAAGCACCUUACGUCAACUAAUUUUCCAAUAAGAUGAGGUAUGAAUAUUAUCUUGCGCAGCCUUUAAUGUCAAGCACCUCAAGAAAAUGAAGUUCUGCAACUUAGGGAGGCAACUUUGUUACGCUGGGGCAAUCAUUUAAGAAAAGUGCCUUAAGUCUAAUCAACUUUGAUACAGAUGACGACAGUCAUUGAAUUCGUGUUUGGUACAAGUCCAAAACUAGGAGCGUCUGCAUGUUCUUAAAAAAUGAUGGUGGAAUUGCGACCAAAUCGGGGUUUUUUUGUAGUAAUAGAGACAAAAGUUGGUUGCAGUUUGGACUUGCUGGCAAGUCAUUCAGUUUUCCUUCAAUCAUGGAGAUCCUUUUUGCCUGUUGCCAAUCUUUCAGCCUUUGGGUAUAAGGUGAAGUUUCACCUUUUGGAGCAAAAAAUUUGCAAUCAGGGUCUUGUGAGGAAACGUACAAGGCCAAUUGUCUGACACUAUUGUUCACUUGAACAUAAAUCAUUCUUUCACCUUUCUCUAGCAAUGGCACAUUGGUUAGAUGUCCCAAUAUGUCAUAUCCUUUAUCUCUUGCAUCCCGAAGACUCCUCCUGUCAUCAAUAUUGCCAAGAAGUCCUUCAGCCGCCCAACACUCCAGUAAUAAUCUGUAUAUAUCUUGCUAUCAGCUGGAUAUAAUGCACCAUAUAGAAAGCAUUUCUUUUUCUUCUCAACCUUCAGCUCGUCAUAACAAAACUUGAGUGCUGCAGACAUUUUUGUUAAACCUGGGAUCUCAAUUGUUGGCCAUUUUUCAAGUUCGCUCAAUUCAUUUCUCCAUUCAGAAUCACUGUCCUUUAAUUUGAAGGAACUUGCUACUGUUCUGAUCACAAGUGGGAGUCGAUCACACUCUUCAACUACCAGCCGAGCAACUGGUUCAACAUCAGGGAGAUCGAUUUUCUCAGCUGCUAUCUGUUGAAACAUCCUCCAUGCCUCAUCUGAAGAUAAUUUAUCCAUUUUGACCAUUCUAUCUGUCAUUGACGAACAAACAUGACGGAAUUCAGUAGUCAAUACCACUUUGCUACCAUUACCAUUGUAAUACCCCUCACAAAGUAUUUAUUAAAAAAAAAAUUAAAUUAAAAUUAUUAAGCUAUAGUUUUAUAAAGAUAAUAAGUAGAUAUUAUUUUAGUAUUUUAUUUAUUUACAAUUAUGACCUUGGGUGUCUUAAUAAAUAAAAAAAAAUAGAAAAAAUGGUCUUUAAGUAAAAGAAGAAGUUUAAUUAAGUCAGUUUUAUUAUCACGUUUAAGUUAGUGGAGUUAAGGGUCAGUUUUUUUAUCCCAUUUAAGUUAGUGGGGUUAGGUAGUUUAUAAGUUUUAAAAGAACAGACAACAACUUACGUUAGUUCAUUCAUCAUAUUCAAACAACAGACAGUCAGAAAAACUUAAUAUCAGGGAAGAAGAAAGACAGAUGAGAGGGAAAGAUAUUGCUGAUUAAGGUAUGUUUGGGAAUUAUAUUUUCAUAAUUUGGGUACAAAAACCCUAAAUUAGAUAAGUUUUUUUUAUUUUUUUUAUUUAAAUUCGGCACUUUUCUGAUGACUUUCCUGUAGCAUGAUGGGUACCAAUGGAAAGGUCUUGAAAAGAUCUUUCCAAUGGUUUUUGUAGCAUCUUGUUUGGCCUUAUGGUUAGGAAUAUAUGAAUUUUUGAAGUUAAUUAGAAAUCUGGUUUUCAACAGUUUUGACAGCCCGACUUUGGGUCACCGGAACUCCAUNNNNNNUGGAUAUGUGAUUUCUACUGUAUUUUUAUGUUAAGAAGUAUGUAUUUUUAUAUUUUAUAAAUUUAUUUCUUAAAUUAUAGAUUUUAUUAAAAUAUCAAAAAUUUAUGAAAAAUUAUAAAUAUGAUUUUUUACAAGUGAAAUUAGUAUUAUUUCUCUAUCUGAAAUUUAAAGUCCUUACUGAUUUUAUGAUUUAAGUUUAAUUCUCAACCUUAUUGAAAAUUUUGUUUAAUUCAAAAAUAUAAAUAAUAAUAAUAUAUUACCUUAUUAACAAAAAAAAAAAAGUUCAUAAAUUGUAAUAGGAGUCGCUACACACCCUAAGUGCUUAGGAUGGUCAACGAAAAGUCGCCUUGUAGGAUCUGUUUGCAAAUUUAGUUCUGAUUUUUGUGUUUCUCGAAAUACUAGGCUACUAAGAGGAUUUUCGGAUUUGCUACUUGAAAGUAAAAUUUACGAGAUCAAGUAAGUGACUGAUAUCCCUUCGGUGUUUUCACACCUUAAAAAUUAGCUUCAAUCUGAAUUUGUACAUGAGAUAUAAUAUUUUGUCCUAUGAUUUAUUAAAAUUGGGUUGAGCAUGCAAAAUGUAUAUGUAUAUAAGUUUAUAUGUUAGAUUUAAAAUGUGAUUUAUGCAAAACGUGAUUUCUGAAUUGGAAAUUUGUUCAUGACUUGGUUUAAUGUAUACGUAUAUGUUUUUGCGAAUAUAAACAUAAAUGUUUAGUUUGAAACGAAUAUGCUUUUAAGGUGUAUGAGAUAUGCUUGAGAAAUUUGAUAUACUGUUUUAUGAUCUUUGGGUAAUCUAAAAAUAUAUAUUUCUGUUUUAUCUCCUAGUAUGGCUAUGCUCUAACCCUGCUAAUGUGGGUUAAAUGUUGGCCAUGUCGACAUGUAUUUUGUGAUUAGAGAUCGAUCUCCCAACCGCACCACCGAUUACAGAAUAGUGGUAUUUGUGAUAUUUGUUCAGUGCAGCCAAUGGUUGCUUUUUCUGACCCAUGCCACUGGGGUUAAUUGUGGUUCUAUUUCUGACCUAUGUCACAGGGGUUAAGUGUGGUCGUAGCAUGUUAUAGGAGACCAUUAAAAGUUAAAUAUUGUGAAUAUAUUUGUUCUGUUAUUUGAAUGCGCAAAUUUUGAAUUAUGUGAUUCCAAAUAAGAUUACCCAAUAUUUUGUCUUGGCAUUUGUAAAUGAUAUUUUGCCCUGAAUGUUUUAAGCAUGCUUAAUCUGGCUGAAUGGAUGUUAGUUAUUUGCUGAGUAGUUGGACUCACCCCUUCCUUCAAUUUUUUUUCAGGUUGUGAUUUGGUCAACCACGCGGGAACUUUGGGGAGUGAUGUUUAAUUUAGUAAGACUUAAAUUAUCUAGGAUUUAUUUAAAUAUUAUGAACAUCGUACUAUCUUAAUUAGUAUUCAGACUUUUAUCUUGACUUAGUAGCUUUAUGGUUUUGGAGAUUUAAUUUUGAAUAUUGUCGAAUUAUGAUAUUUGGAAAUUCUGUCAACAGAUAUAGUUUAUAAAUCACUAAAUUCUUCAGGUAUAUCAGUAUCUUUUAGUAAUAGUUUAAGAUAUAUAUUUUAGAGCCUUGCAUGUCUGUAGAAUUAUACUUUAUAGGUAUGCGACGUCUGUCAUGUCUCGGGUCUGAGGCGUGACAACCAUAUUUGGGAUUCUAAUCUGCUGCAAAUCAAUGGAGUCCAUGACCUCAUCCAGAAGCAGCAAAUACUUCUUAUGCUUCAUAUAUUCUGAUAUGAUCCUCGCAAGUUCACCAGAGCACGUAGCACGUUCCGCCUUCAGUUUAAGUCGCUGUGCAAUGUUCAGUUGCAGUUUCUCAUCAUUCCUCUCCCUUGAAACAUUUAUCUAAAUGACUAUAUCAAACAUUUUGGCAACUUCUUCGGGGUUGUUCAAGUUCUUCAUUAUUGUUGUUUUCCCAACUCCCACUGUGCCAAAAAUUCCGAUUCCUUUUAGUUUAUCGCUUCUUAGCAACUCCCGUAUUUCUUGUAAUGAUCUUCGAAGGGUAGGAAAUCCUUCAAGGUCUGGUGCAUUCAACUUCACAAUUUUUUCUGGAGGCUUAUCUACCAAAAAUCCUCUUUUAAAUGCUCCCUCUCUUUCACAAUUUUUUCGAAUUGUGCACCCAGCUUCAACUUAAACAAGGAGAGAGACGUAAGGGCGCUGGGCAACAACCAGGUAAUUUCUUUUGAAUUCAGGGGGUGGCCUUUUAUUUUUCAUCCAAGCAGUACUAGUAAAUAGGCAGAUAGUGGGCUUAAAUAUGGAGGAUGGACAAUUCAAAAAGGGCUAAUGUCUGAUUCCUCCAACCCAAAAAAUAAACCCAACAAAAACAAUAAGAAAAACCACUGGGCACCUCUGUUCGUUUGUUUUUUGUCAGAGUUGUCUAUGCUUUUUAGAAUAUUCUUCCCAUUGUUCAUGAUUAAAGUGAUAGGUCUUGGACAAAACUGUAUUUUUAGGAGUGCAGGAGCUAAAUGUGGAACCAUGGCAGUUUACAUGGGUGGAUCUGUUCUUGAAUAAAUUAUCUAAAGAAAUGCUGAAGGUCGAAGCCUCACCAACAUGGGAGAUAGUUUAUUUUCUCUGAGCAGGCAUUUGUAAGUGGUAUAUGCACCUUUAAUUUUCCCUGAUAUAAAACCUUUUAUUGGAUUUAGAGAGACACAUUUCCAACAGGAUAUCAUCACGCUAAGGGUUCAAUGCCAGAGCAUUGACAGGUAUUUCAAGAAUUAGUUGUUUGCUACAACCCCUGUCAAGUUUGAUUCAGAUUAUGUUGAAAUUGUCUUUGGCAAAUACCUAUAACUCCAUGCAGCAGUUGGAAAUAAAGAGCUUUUUCAUUAUUUUGUUUUCUCCUGCAAUCUCUGUUCUUUGAUUGAAAACUGAAAAUCUGUGAAGAUUUUUAACCAACUGCUUUAUUGAAAUUCUGGCAUAUUGAUUUUGUAUCCUGGGAGUAAAGCAACAAAUUUCAGGCAUAUGUUCAAAGUUUUUCUUUAUGCUACACUGAAAGGUAACUAGUACGAGGAAUUUCCAAAUCCAACGGCUUCUAACAUUUCAAGUCUACAACACCCAUUCAAUCAAAGCAGUGCAAAUCCUAUGUUGUUCUUAAUUGUUGUAAUUAUAGCUGUACAAAUUAGAAUAACCAAAAGCAACAUUCACCUUAGGCUGCAAAAGGAUUGAAUAUGGUCUCUAACCUCACUGUUUCGCCACUGCAAUGCUUCCCACCAUAUUUGUUCUCCCUCUAUUAACUUCAGCUUGGUCGAAAUGUCUUCGUUGAAAGGUAACGAUUUCAACUCGUGACAUCCAAAUAUCUUAAGGACCUUUAAAUACGGCCAUGCCAAUGGCUGUCCUGCGCAUAUAGUUCUUAAUUUCGGCAAGUCAAUUAGUUCCAAUAUCUCUAGGCUCGGAAGCUCAUAUGAAAAUGGUUCAACGCCCCAACAGUUCUCAAUCAAUUCUUCUACCUCGAAACAGCUUUCAAUUGCCAAUUUCUUGAGUUUGGAGACCUGUUGAAUCACUCCAUUAGACAGUAUCUUUCUCAACAUUGGGCAACUCUUCACCACAAUGGUAUGUAGCUUUGACAAGCUUUUGCCUGCAAUAGGGCCUUCAAAAACACUCUUCAGACAGAGCAAACUCCUUAAAUGUAACUGUUCCAGAAUUGGUAGAAUGUCUAUAACUCCUACCUUGUUGCCAUCUAAAAUAGUUGUCAUUUCAUUGCAUCUUUCAAUCAGACAACCACGAACAUGGUUCAGGCUGGCAACAUUCACGAAGUCUGAUAGACAUUUGAUGUUGUUAUGACUGACCAAUUCCAAUGCAUCAGUUUUAGGAAGGACAUCACGAAUUGUAGAAUCAUCAUUGCCAGGAUAGCAGUAUCUCAUAUAUCGAUUUACUUUGUACUCAAAGUAGUCAAGAAUUGGAGGAUUGUUCUUGUUUUCACAGCCAACAAAAAACCAAAAUGAAGUUAAUUGUUUGUGAUCCCUAUAUGAUCGCUUGUUUUCCAUUAACAUUUUGAGGAUCUCUGGUUGUGGAAAGCAUAUUCUGAGAGUAGUUAAAUUCUCCAAGGAAGCCACUUCCCGAAUGACUCUUGCAACAUCAACGCACCAAUGGCCAUAGGAGGUCACAUCAAUCAUCAGUUCCUCCAAUCUUAGAAGCCUUGAAAUCACAUUGUCAACAAUUUCCACAUCACGACAGUCUUCUGUAUUGCUGCAUUUAUGGUAUGACAUCCGCAAACACCUCAAAUAAACUAAUUUUCCAAUAAGUGGAGGUAUGAAUAUUAUCUUGCAGCCUCGAAUGUCAAGCACCUCAAGAAAACGAAGUUCUGCUACUUGGGUAGGCAACUUUGUUAUGCUGGGGCAAUCAUUUAAGAAAAGAGCCUUAAGUCUAGUCAAUGUUGAUACAGAUAAUGGCAGUGAUGCUAUUCCUGUCCUGUACAAGUCCAAAACUAUAAGCUUCUGCACGUUCUGGAAAAAUGAUAGUGGAAUAGUAGCUAAAUUAGGAUUUCUUUAUAGUAAUAGAGACAAAAGUUCCUCACAGUUUGGACUUUCUGGUAACUCAAGCAGUUUUCCUUCAAUCAUAGAGAUCCUUUUUGCCUGCUGCCAAUCUGUCGCAUUUUGAGGAUAAGGUGAAUGUUCACCUUUUAAAGCAAUGAAUUUGCAAUCAGGCUCUUGUGAGGAAAUGUAUAAGGCAACUUGUCGGACACUGUUGUUCACUUGAACAUAGAUCAUUCUCUCACCUUUCUCUAGCAAUGACACAUUGACUAGAUGCCCCAAUAUGUCAUAUCCUUCAUCUCGUGCAUCUCGAAAUCUUCUCCUGUCAUCAAUAGUCCCAAGGAAUCCUUCAGCCGCCCCAACACUCCACUAAAUGAUCAACAUAUAUCUUGCUACCAGCUGGAUAUAAUGCACCAUACAGAAAGCAUUUCUUUUUCUUCUCAUCCUUCAGCUCAUGAUAACAAAACUUAAGGAAUGCAUGCAUGUUUGUUAAGCCUUGAAUCUCAAUUUCUGGCCAUUUUUCAAGUUCUCUCAAUCCAUUCCUCCAUUCAGAAUCACUUUCCUUCAGUUUGAAGGAACUUGCCACUGUUCUGAUCACAAGUGGGAGUCGAUCACACUCUUCGGCUACUAGCCGAGCAACUGGUUCAACAUCAGGGAGAUCUAUUUUUUCAGCUGCUGUCUGUUGAAACAUCCUCCAUGCCUCAUCUGGAGAUAAUCGGUCCACUUUGACCAUUCUUUCUGUCAUUGAGGAACAAACAUGACGGAAUUCAGUAGUCAAUACCACUUUGCUACCAUUACCAUUAUCUGGGAUUCCAAUCUGCUGCAAAUCAAUGGAAUCCAUGACCUCAUCUAGAAGCAGCAAAUACUUCUUAUCCUUCAUAUGUUCUGAUAUGAUCCUCGCAAGGUCACCAGAGCAUGUAGCACUUUCCAUCUUAAGUUUAAGUCGCUGUGCAAUUUUCAGUUGCAGUUUCUCCUCAUUCAUCUCCCUUGAAACAUUUACCCAAAUGACUAUAUCAAACAUUUUGGCAACUUCUUCGUGGUUAUUCAAGUUCUUCAUUAUUGCUGUUUUCCCAACUCCCACUGUGCCAAAAAUUCCAAUUCCUUUUAGUUUAUCACUUCUUAGCAACUCUAGUGUUUCUUGCAAAGGUCUUUGAAGGGUAGGAAAUCCUUCAAGGUCUGGUGCAUUCAACCUUACAAUGGCUUCUGGAGGCUUAUCUACUAGAAAUCCUCCUUGAAAAUCUCCCUCUUCCACAAGUCUCUCAACUUCCUGGCGCAAAGUAAUGGCCUUGCCACUGUAAUCUGAUCGGCGCAUCAAAUGUGAAGAUCGUUCCUUAUCAUACUCAGCUCGUAAUCUUUCCACUUUUUCAAGAGUCUUCACAACGCUGCUGAGCUACGUUUGAUAGCAUCUGGUGGUUGUUUUUGUUCUAUUUUGUUCCACUAUCCUCUCAUUGUCGUCCCUUUUUGCCUGGAGCUUUUCUGCUGCAGUUAUCAUCAUGUCAAAAUUAUUAUCCAUAUUGUACGAUAAACCACGCUUCCCCAUAAAAUUGUUGUGUUUUGAUGGAUAUAUGAGAAGUAUGAAAGCACAGCAAGUGAAAAAGAGUUUUCUGGAGUAACAGAAGCUUAAUGUUUUUGAUAUGCAUUAACUUAGUUUUUAAUACAUAGCAAAGCUUAACUAGUAAGCUUAGAUCAGUAUAAGGCACAAGAAUACAUGCUAAUCAUUGCAUAAGUCUUUCACUAGAUGCAUAGCUAUCAUAAUAAGAUAGGAAUCUAGCUGUCUUAAUACAAAAUGAUCACAUAUGAUCCUAAGGUUAAUAGCAUGCACUGAUGUGGUUUUCAAUGCAAGUCCUAUUUCAACAAAAAUAGUUCCAUGCUUCCUUUGCCAAUUCGAUUGUGACUUCCAGCCCAUCGUUAGCCAUUAUAACUUCUACGCUGCAACUGGCAUUCCAAAUUGCAAAAAAAAAAAAAAAAAAGGAUCAGGUGUCUACUCUGCUCAUAUUUAUAUACUUUAGAGGGUAACUCAAAUUCCUGAAGUGGUCAGGCUAAGAUAAUUUGCAGCCAAAGUACUCUUGUUUCUUUAUAGCAAAAUUCUUCUUUUAUGUCUUUAUUCUUCCUAAACCCCAAACAAUGUCAGUUACUAUCUUCUUUAACCUCUUCCGAGUUCAAUUCAAAGCUUCAUGUAUAACCCUGAAAUCUUACCAAGAAAACAGAAGUAAAGAAAUCUCUCUCCAGAUUUAUUCCAACCCUCAGAAUCCAAUUAUAUUUCUUCCAAUAUAAGAAAAAGAUAUAUCAAAUUUCUUACCUUUUAUUUGCGGUCGAAGACAAAGAAACUUCCACGACAUGCCCAGCAGUUCCUGGUAGCUUUUUCUACACCUCGGCUGUAUCUCUUCCAUGCACUGAAAUUCCAACUGGAAAACAAGAACACAAACGUGAUAAUGGCUACCUGAUGAGAUAUACAAUUAGAAAUUGACUAUGUUCAUUUGAAUUCAGAGUUUUAAAGUACUUUUACUAAAGAGAAAGAUCGAGCUAAGGUUCAAAAAUUAAAAAAAAAAACAAUCAAUCAACUUGGAUUGAGGUGAUUAAAGAUUCUCUUAACAUUCGGGAUGUUCCAUCUUCCCUACUAGAUGGUGACAGCCCCAUUUUCUCUUUGUGGUAAGCUUCAACUAGUAGUUGCCUUGGUAACUCUAUUUCUAAGAAAAUAUAAAUAUAAUUUCUACUUUUGUUUCUUCAAUAAUUUAAAAAGUUGAAAAUCAUAACUUUGUGAGUCUCGCGUCCCCUUGUCUGCUUCCCAUUGAUUAAGGAAAACCCUUAGGCUUAACGCCGAUGGUUCAACUACCUGCUCCUGUCGAAAUCCUUGGGACCCCUUCAAGUCUGGGACAGGUGACAAGGUGACAGCUGGGAGAUGGAGAGAAAACAGUGCAUACCAGCCUUCUCACAUGAAGUUUGAAAGCUUUGAACAAGCCUGCUGGAGUGGUGGAGGCCGUGGCAGAGAGGCUGAGUAUGAGAUGAGAAAAACAGGGGAGUUGCUGCUCAGCAUUUAAUAGGUUGGUCUAAGCUUGUUUCGCACAAGACUUCUCUCCCGCUGAUACAGAUACAUAUGCAAGCCAGGUACUCGAAUUCCUUACACUAAGCAAUUUGUUUGCAUGAUUUUUUUUUUAUUAAAAAAAAUAGCCCAUAAACCAAGUUGAUCCUUGUGGAAGCACUUCAAGAAUAAAAUUUUGAAUGCACUAAGUCGACGUUAGAGAAUGUGCCUUUAAGGUUGUCUGGGCAAGAUUGUAUCAUUAAUGCAUGCUCAUCAUCUUACCUUGCGUAUUAUUAUUAUUAUUAUUAUUUGAUAGCUAAUUCUCGACUCUUAGUUCAUAUUGCUACAUGCUUUCAGCUUCGAAUUCAUUAAUUUUCCAUCCUCAGAUAACAAUGUCCCGCUGCUUUUGUCUUGUAUUCAAUCACAUUUGGUGGACGACACCUCAUCUCCCAUUGUCUAGACUUUAUGGUACUACAUCUUACGUCUUUCUCUUUCUCUCUUUUUUUCUUUUUUCGAUAGAGAAAUGGAGAGCUGGGAACAUAAGAAUCUUAGAAAUUAGCUAAUACGAGGAAUGAAGCUAGCAAGGAAGCUUCAAGCGUAUCUCAAAGCUUCCAAAGAAGCUUGUGAAUUACAGAAACAGAUUCUAUCCUCCCAAGGAAAGGCAUUUUCAAUUAUUAACUGCAGCACCUCCUCCACGGCAGCCAAGCCAAAGUACAUAGCUCACAGCUCGCCUACUCGUAAGGGAAGUUGCCGGAGUGAGGACUCUGACCAUGAUUUCAAGGAGCAGUACUAUGGAAGGCACACUUGCAAUAUAGCCUCAGAUGUGAUGCCUUCAAGACUACCCAAAAUACUAGCUGUACAGAACCUACUCUUUAUCAUUUUCUGUUUAGAUUAGGGUCUUUUUUAUAGAUAGAUUAAAGUAAUUUACAUACUGAUAUUAUAGUGAAAUAAGUAUUUUUCAUGUAUAUUUGCAGCCUUCGGAUACUGUAGGUGAUGUAGAUGGAUAUGAUAAACAGGAUUCAAAAUCUAGUCUUCAGUCAAGCGUAAACAAUCCUGUUGAUCAAACUUGCAUUUCAUCAACCGAGGUGACGAGUGAGCUUCCAAAUUCAGAGCUCAACCAGAAUGAGUUCCCAAACCCAUCAUAUACGUCACCUCUAACAAUCCUUUAUGAGUAUCAAGUGAGGAAGAACUGCAAGGUGCUGAACAGGAAGAAGGAUGUGCUACUCCUACUUUCAUGUUAUCCUAUGAUUAUGAUUGACAAAUUUGACUCAAAGAAAUGGAUUACAGAUGUAUGGCAUUCAUGAGAGAUGCAAAAUCAACAGAAAAGAUUUUAUACGGUGAAGAGGUAGCGGAAGAUUGGCCAUUAAUAAUGAGGCUACAUGAACUUUCUGUACGCUUGCAGAAGCUGCUCGAUGUUCCCUUGACGAAUAAUAUUGAGCGAGUUUUACCAGGGGACAUAGUUGAGAAUCUAUAUAGGCCAACAGAAGCUGAUUUAAGACCCUUGUUGGAGGUGGAACAGAAUAUAAUUGCCGGAAAGACAUCAAAAUCUAGAGGUUCACCAAGUCACAGUGAAGGGGCAGCAAUGGAAACUGAAAAUGAAUUGCAGCCAAUGCCUGCAAGAUGUAAAACUCAGGUAGAAGAUACUGAGUUGUCAACCAAAGAAACACUGUAUGUACCCGAAGAAAUAUUGGAUUUGGCCGUUGAUUUAGCUAUUCAUUAGAUCUUAAGAUGUAUAAACAGAGGAGAUAUCAGGUGUAUUACAAUCAGUGGAAGAAAUAAAAAAAGGGUGUUAGAAGCAAUAAAGCAACACUGAGAAAUAGGUUCCACGUUUGGAUAUAUCAUUGUUUUCACUGUGUCAGAUAAUCAAAAUGGGGCAAAGGUUCACGGUGUCUUUCACCUGCAGAAGGGGUUUUGGCUAGGUGGAUGCUCUGAUGCUGUUGGCCUUACACCUGAAUAUUCUGACCACUUGUGCUCCCUAGGAAACUUAUUGCUUACGGAAGAUGAUUAUGAUGAGAACAUGAACCUGGAUCACUUUACACUCCCAUUUUUGAUAACUGGUUGACCAUAAACAUAGUGAUUCAAGGUUCAUAAUCUUUACUUCUAAAAUGGCAGUAGACAUGGAGAUUAGAAUGGAGGAUCAUUUGUUUUCGUGGAAAUUGUUUCAUAGGAUUGUGGGUGAAGUUUCGCUUUCCCCUAGUAUCCAACAGAUGGCAGCAUGUAUGGUGAAAGAGUGCCGUGGCAAUCUACUUGCCAUCCUUCUAAUGGCCAGUUCCUUGAAGAAAGUUACUGACGAUGUCAAAUUGUGGGAACUUGCUGUUCAAAGAUUGACCAUGCUACCUCCAUCUCGAUAGAAGAUAUAGAAAAUGUGGUUAACGCAUUAACAUUCGUUUGGGAUCAUAUGAACAAGAAAACAAGACAUUGCAUUGAGUUUUAUAUACUGUAUCACAAGGGAAAGAAAAUCAACAGAUUCGAACUAAUACAAUGUUGGGUCAAGGAAAAUGUGGUUGGUACCUAUGAUGAAGGAGACCGCAUUCUCCAAAGUCUUAUUGAUAUAUUCCUGCUUAAUUAUUUUGUGGUGUUAAAUUGUGUCGAACUGCAAGGAGAGAUCUAUGACGUAUUAGUGAACCUAGUUAUUCCCCAAUCCCAAAUGCAUCCAUUAUGUCUUAUGAAAGGAGGGUUGAGAUUGAUUAAACCACCAAAAGAAGAGUUAUGGUGGGAUGCCAAAGAGAUCCAUUUGAUGGAUAAUAAAUUAUCUGACCUACCAGAAUCUCCAACGUGCCCCUCACUAUUUAAACUGUACCUUCAGAAGAACUUGGAUCUGAUGGCUAUCCCAUCUUGUUUCUUCAAGCACAUGCCUCUCCUUGAAAUUCUAGACUUAUCACACACCAGUAUCAAAUCUUUGCCAGAGUCGCUUUCUAGUUUGGUUAAACUUCGAGAAUUCCUUUUGAAAGGCUGUGAACUCUUCACACAACUCCCUAGUCAUGUUGGAGAACUGAAGAAUCUUGAGAAGCUUGACCUUGAUGGAACUCAGAUUAUAGAUCUCCCAGCAGAGAUUGGACAUCUUUCCAAAUUAAAAAUUUUGAGGGUCUCAUUCUAUGGAUAUAUGAACUGCAGCAAAACAAUGUUGCGGCGAGAUACAAUAAUUCCCCAUGGAACAAUAUCAGGUUUUUUUGAAUUAACUGAAUUAAGCAUUGAAGUUGAUCCGGACGAUGAACGCUGGCAUGCAACUGUGAAAGCUAUUAUUGAGGAAGCUUGCAACCUGAAAACUUUAAGACAGCUUAAUUUGUACUUGCCAAACAUCGAAAUAUUGUGGAAAUGCAGAACACGUAGCACAUCAUUGCUCCAUUACCCCUUGCCACGUUUCAGAUUUACUGUCGGUUAU
rnacentral:lncRNA from 1 species